CUCUCCGCAGUGUGUUAGAGGCGGCGAGGGAAAUCUCGCGAUACUCGUUGUCGAGGUUACGGGCGGGAAGGCAAGCUGCAAGAUGGCGGCUCUGGUUCUCAAGGCCUUUCCUCCUCACCAUCCCCGCUCCCAAAAGGGCUGUUCUUCCCUACAGUGCCCGGCUCCGAACUUUCAGCCACUCUUGGGUCCUAUCUCUUUAUAAGAGCUCCUACUGUGCCCUAUUGAGGCCUCAGAUCCGUCAGGCAGCAUCCUCAUUCCCUCACAGCCCAGGACAGCUGUUACCACAGCAAGACUCACAGAGGACCUUCAUCCUGCACAGCAUCUCCUCAGGGCCUGAAAUGAGGUAUAGGAUUGAACAGAAAGCAGUUACCAGCCCCAAUGAUACCCUAUAGCCAUUGACUCCUUAAGGCCAGACUCAGCCCUACGUCCUGCUUCCUUAUGUGGGAAAAAAGAGUAUCAUCAGAAAGAAAAGAGCACCCUUCAGGAACCUACGAUGGCAGCAUUAGGAUGGCCAUCGAGCAAUCAAGAGACAGAACUGGGGAGAAUUGUAUUUCCCUAAGGAAGAAGCUGUGCAGAUGCUUGCAGAGGGCACAGUCCCUGCUUGUACCCAGAGGUGGAGAGCUUCCCUGGUGCUACACCAACACAGGUCAACUCUUCAGGCUGUUGCUUGUCUUUUCACCCUUUGCUAAUGCAUAAUGCAAUAUGGAACAAAUUCACAUUCACCUCAAUAAUUUUUGUUACAAAACUACAAUCGACUUUCUUUUAAAUCCUGACUUUCGCCUGGGAUAAUUAUAUCACCUCAUCUGGUACAAGCAAUCCUAUAGCAUCUCUCUUGUCAGUUCCCCGUUGGGCAGAAAUGUGUUCCCAAACUCCUCUUUUCCAAAGAAUGCACAUGUAAGUUCUCGCCUAUUUUUUCAAUAACAUGAAUUCCCUCCCACACACACUUUUUCUUCUUGCCAAGAGCAGCAUAGGAAGACAGCAGCGUAGGAGUUAUCUGCUUGAAUUGGUUGACACAACCAUAGUGGAUCCUCACUUGCUCUCAGAAUGCUUCUUUCAUGUUACGGAGAGAAUGAAACUCAAGCUGGAAACUUCUCUUGGUCACCACUUCAGUAACCAGUGUUUGCCAGCAGAUACCAAUGCUUAUUUUCCCCUUUAAAAGCCUCCUUGCUACUCAAGCCACAACAAAAAGAAGCAUAAAUCCAAAUUCUGAGGAAAAAGAAACCCCUCCUCAGCAAGACAUUGCCUUCAAGUGGGAAAAGUGCCAGAGACUCCAUUAAGUCUGCUUUGCUAUUCUUAUUGAUUUUAUGUGGAAGGCACUCAGAUACUGAUGGGGAUGAACAAUAGGCCAAGGGCUGAGGUACUGCGUUAGGAAACACAGCUUGUGAUGCAGAGUGAUCAUUCAGCUCUUUCACAGUGAUCACAUUCACAUUAAUAAGUCCGUCCUGUGUCUGUGCUAAUGUAUUUUCAUGCCAGUAUUACAAAGCUGAUGUAAUGUUAUAUUCAGCGGUGCGGUGCUGGUUACAGUUGUCAGCUCCAGCUGAUUGAAGUGGAACUUUAAGAAAUGGAACAAGAUGUGUCACAGCUCGUUGUACUAAUUCUGCUUCAAGCUGCUUUUGCCAUGAAGUUUGGUUCAGGAACCUGAAAGAAAGCACUUUGCAUGGAAAGACUGAGCUGAGCUUUUGCUAACUCCCAGAUUUUGGCUGUCUCCUUUGCAGGCAUCAGCACUGUUACAACACGUCUUCAUUUGAUGCGUGCUACUUUGUCAUCCAUUUUUUAGUUGGAUUGUUGAAAAACAACUGUUGCACUGUACUGAUAGAGACUGUCUAAUGAUAAUAAUAUAAUAAUCCUGCAGAAAGUUCUCCUUCUCAGCUCUCUAAGUACUUACUUUUCCUUCUG